GUUUCCAUUUGAUUGGAAGGCUGUACAGGUGGUUUGGGGGAUGCGCAGUGUUGCCCAACGUCACAAUCGGUGGUGGUAUAAAUUCCCCUGGGUUUGUCCUCCAGUCAUUUAUCUUGAGAAAAGCCUGAGGCAGGAUAGCUACAUUACGCGCAAUUGUUGCUGGGAAGAUCCCGUUAACAAGAUGACUAAAAUGUUGAUGGCUUACAUUGGAUUUCUUCUCCUUGCCAUGCAUUUUUCAUCACAGCCCUUCUGCUCUCCCGUUUUAGGUCCACGCGCAAAAUGCUACAACACAGUCCCCUGCCAUGAAUGCUACGACCAGAGCUGGCGGUGCGAGUUCCAACAUGACCAAGAUGCCCGAUGUCACCAAGAACAACAACAUUGCCAAAGGAGCCAGUGCAUCCUUGCAGUCCAGUUCGGUUGCGCUCAUCAUACCCAUCAUGGUGGGGGGCUCACUACAGGGGCGCUUCUAGAGGGCUGUUGCGCAGUGAAUCGACACCGGCAAGACUUGAACAUCAGCGGCCGAGAUGGGGCAAACUUUUUACUAAGAGCACAUUUUGUAUAUACUUUUCAGAAAGGCAGUCAUGUGCGCUCCUAACCGAAGAGAUUCGGUGGAGUUCCGUGCUGGACGAGAACCCAUUUCUACUUCACUGAUGGGAGUUGUUUUUGCCCUCACACCUUCAAACCAGUAGGCCUUCACACCUCGCACACUGGCCCCAUGCUCAUAGGCCGAACGGUACGGUCCUCUCCAUGGAGGCAGUCCAUGAUGAGGAUGCACUCUGCUCUUUGAACCGUUUGGUCGACACCAGGGGUUGCUUAGUAAUUUGUUAAGAAGUUAACAUAUCUAAAGAAAUGUUGGUUGAGGCACUUUGAAAAUAAGGUAUAAAUGAAUCUGUGGCACAUGCACAGGCUUGAUGUACACUUGUGAUAUAUUUCUAGAAUAUGAAAUUGUAUGGGUUAGCAUGUGAGAUUUAAUUGUAUAAAUCAUGAUGUGAUAUGCUUAGAUUUGUUAAGGCCAGGCUCAAUUAACCUUUAAAAUGUAGGAUACUUGUGACCAUUUUCUUGUGUAAUAAAAAUAUUUUAACAUGA
ensembl:lncRNA